rnacentral:misc_RNA from 1 species
AAAAACUACUGUUUUUGCAGGCAUAUUUAGUCCCAUGGCAAACGUCUCCGUGGCAAAAAGGGCCUUUAUUAGUCCUUCUUGGAAAAGAAGUUCCACAAGUUCCUUGAUAACAGGAAGCAAACCAGAGUGGUGAACAGCAAUCCCUCGCUGAAGCAGUGGCAACAUUAAUUCAAUUGCUGGCAAGUUCCUAUCUUCCUCGCUCAAGCACACCACUGCACUAUGGAAUACCUGCUCCACGGCUUCUUUUUCCUCUUCAGUAUUAAAAUCAAGU